GAUGAACGCUGGCGGCGUGCCUAAUACAUGCAAGUCGAGCGAACAGACGAGGAGCUUGCUCCUCUGACGUUAGCGGCGGACGGGUGAGUAACACGUGGAUAACCUACCUAUAAGACUGGGAUAACUUCGGGAAACCGAAGCUAAUGCCGGAUAAUAUAUUGAACCGCAUGGUUCAAUAGUGAAAGACGGUUUUGCUGUCACUUAUAGAUGGAUCCGCGCCGCAUUAGCUAGUUGGUAAGGUAACGGCUUACCAAGGCAACGAUGCGUAGCCGACCUGAGAGGGUGAUCGGCCACACUGGAACUGAGACACGGUCCAGACUCCUACGGGAGGCAGCAGUAGGGAAUCUUCCGCAAUGGGCGAAAGCCUGACGGAGCAACGCCGCGUGAGUGAUGAAGGUCUUCGGAUCGUAAAACUCUGUUAUUAGGGAAGAACAAAUGUGUAAGUAACUAUGCACGUCUUGACGGUACCUAAUCAGAAAGCCACGGCUAACUACGUG
rnacentral:rRNA from 1 species